AAAGUCUUAAGGUAGUUGCUGCUUCCUGCUUGAAUGGAUAGAAGCUGUGGACAGUUGUGCAAAAAUGUUUCAGACUUUAUACAUUAUUUACAAAGUGUUCUAGCUUUGUAAAUUCUUAUCUCUCUCUUUUCAGAAAUUGGCUAAACUUCUGCUCUGUGGCACCGAGUUGGUGACAAAUAUCCAGGUGGCUAUAGAUAUCAGAGAGAUUCACAGGAGAGUCGAAGAAGAGGAGAUAAAGCGUCAAAGGAUUGAGAAGCUGGAGAAUGAAGUUAAGACCAGCCAGGACAAAUUCGAUGAAAUCACCUCCAAGUGGGAAGAGGGCAAGCAGAAGAGAAUUCCCCAAGAGCUGUGGGAAAUGCUCAAUACCCAACAGCUGCACUGUGCUGGACUCUUAGAAGAUAAGAAUAAACUCAUCAGCGAGUUACAGCAGGAGUUAAAAACAAAGGAUGACCAGUAUGUGAAGGAUUUGAAGAAACAGUCAGAUGACAUCUGCCUGCUUCUGGAGCGGAUGGAAGAACAGGUGAAGAAUGUGAUGAAAACCUUUCGUGAGGAGCUCUAUAACAUUGAGAAAGCAUUUGAGG
rnacentral:sRNA from 1 species